rnacentral:lncRNA from 1 species
CAGGAGCUCAGGAAAGGUCUCAAGGGGAGUGUAGCAGGAGUCCGAGCAUCCCCAGCAGGCCCACCAUGCCGGGCAGGGCCCCUGCUCCGACCGUGACCUCCAGGCGGGAAUUGGCUGGGCCAGAGGUCAGCGCAUCCCCUCCCCCGCCCCCUCCAUCCCCCCUCACCCCCCGCCAGGGGCGCACCACCGCGAGCUGCCCAGGCCAGACGGCCGGCUGCCCCAGGCGCUGCCUUCGUUGCGGAGGCUGCUGCCCGCUCCCCGAGCUGUUCCUGGGCCCGCUGGGCCAGGGCCACCCUGGCAAGUCUGGGGGGGGGGGGUUUAGAAGGCGAGCUUACUGACCAUAAGACAUGAACCCCCGAAAUCCGCUCCCUUCCUCUUCAUUAUUUAGAGGAAGACCGCGGAAACAAAUCACUUCUACCACUUAAAGAAGCGAGGAAACCUUUAUAAGAAUCCAUCGCUCCCAAAUCGAUGGGUGAAUAUUUGCUGGGAAUUUGUUCCAGAGGAAUAAAUAAGGAGCGAAGGGAACAAAUGGUCGGUUGCCUUUGACAGGACUCCAAUAAAGGAUUCAGCAGCUCUCCUCUCUGCCCUCGGCACUCCUGCUUCUAGGUUUAAGGAUCGGGAAAGAGCCAGCUAACUGAGGACCUUGGAAUGCAGGCAAAAAGGGCAAAUCUCUGGAAAGAGACUACCCCAUCGCCGAGAAGUUCCCAAAGGAGGAGCUUUGCAACUUGCCAGACCUGGAAUCUAAAAGAAGCUCCACGCCCAAGGGAUCACCUCAGACAGCACCUGUUCACUACACUUGAAAUGCAGCCGAACCCUCCAGCUCCUUUCAGCCUGGUCACCCAACAGCUGUCACUCAAACAAUGCCUCUCAGCCACCCCAGGCCUGAUUUGGAUUUGACCUACUGACCUCGAGAUACAGAGUUGUGAAGGUGGGUGCUUUGGGGUUCUCAGCUCCCUUCUCCCUGACAAAAAGGAGAGAGGAUCAAGUUGAUGUGAGUAUUUGAGUGACUGUAUGUGUAUGUGAAGAUAGAGGACCACUGUGAUUUGUCCCCAAAGUCUGAGAAGGGUGUUAAGAAGAAUCAGGGAUGAUGUAGUCUGGCUUUAUUACUGAGGUCUCUUUCAACUGCAGGUGGCAGAAAUUAAACAGGUAACAGCUUUUUUUUUUUUUUUUUUGUAAAGUCUUCGAUAAUAUCCAUAUGAAAAACCAGGUUAUGAAGUUUCCGGUAUAAACGGAUUCAGGGGUCCAAACAACAUCAUGAAGUCUG